rnacentral:rRNA from 2 species
GGCCACUGCUAUGGGGGUCCGACUAAGCCAUGCGAGUCAAGGGGGCGUCCCUUCUGGGGCGCCACCGGCGGACGGCUCAGUAACACGUCGGUAACCUACCCUCGGGAGGGGGAUAACCCCGGGAAACUGGGGCUAAUCCCCCAUAGGCCUGGGGUACUGGAAGGUCCCCAGGCCGAAAGGGGCCUUGUGCCCGCCCGAGGAUGGGCCGGCGGCCGAUUAGGUAGUUGGUGGGGUAACGGCCCACCAAGCCGAAGAUCGGUACGGGCCGUGAGAGCGGGAGCCCGGAGAUGGACACUGAGACACGGGUCCAGGCCCUACGGGGCGCAGCAGGCGCGAAACCUCCGCAAUGCGGGAAACCGCGACGGGGGGACCCCCAGUGCCGUGCCUCUGGCACGGCUUUUCCGGAGUGUAAAAAGCUCCGGGAAUAAGGGCUGGGCAAGGCCGGUGGCAGCCGCCGCGGUAAUACCGGCGGCCCGAGUGGUGGCCACUAUUAUUGGGCCUAAAGCGGCCGUAGCCGGGCCCGUAAGUCCCUGGCGAAAUCCCACGGCUCAACCGUGGGGCUCGCUGGGGAUACUGCGGGCCUUGGGACCGGGAGAGGCCGGGGGUACCCCCGGGGUAGGGGUGAAAUCCUAUAAUCCCGGGGGGACCGCCAGUGGCGAAGGCGCCCGGCUGGAACGGGUCCGACGGUGAGGGCCGAAGGCCAGGGGAGCGAACCGGAUUAGAUACCCGGGUAGUCCUGGCUGUAAAGGAUGCGGGCUAGGUGUCGGGCGAGCUUCGAGCUCGCCCGGUGCCGUAGGGAAGCCGUUAAGCCCGCCGCCUGGGGAGUACGGCCGCAAGGCUGAAACUUAAAGGAAUUGGCGGGGGAGCACUACAAGGGGUGGAGCGUGCGGUUUAAUUGGAUUCAACGCCGGGAACCUCACCGGGGGCGACGGCAGGAUGAAGGCCAGGCUGAAGGUCUUGCCGGACGCGCCGAGAGGAGGUGCAUGGCCGCCGUCAGCUCGUACCGUGAGGCGUCCACUUAAGUGUGGUAACGAGCGAGACCCGCGCCCCCAGUUGCCAGUCCCUCCCGCUCGGGAGGGAGGCACUCUGGGGGGACUGCCGGCGAUAAGCCGGAGGAAGGGGCGGGCGACGGUAGGUCAGUAUGCCCCGAAACCCCCGGGCUACACGCGCGCUACAA